AUUGAACGCUGGCGGCAUGCCUUACACAUGCAAGUCGAACGGCAGCACGGGAGCAAUCCUGGUGGCGAGUGGCGAACGGGUGAGUAAUAUAUCGGAACGUGCCCAGUCGUGGGGGAUAACGUAGCGAAAGCUACGCUAAUACCGCAUACGAUCUAUGGAUGAAAGCGGGGGAUCGCAAGACCUCGCGCGAUUGGAGCGGCCGAUAUCAGAUUAGGUAGUUGGUGGGGUAAAGGCCUACCAAGCCGACGAUCUGUAGCUGGUCUGAGAGGACGCCCAGCCACACGGGGACUGAGACACGGCCCAGACUCCUACGGGAGGCAGCAGUGGGGAAUUUUGGACAAUGGGCGCAAGCCUGAUCCAGCAAUGCCGCGUGCAGGAAGAAGGCCUUCGGGUUGUAAACUGCUUUUGUACGGAACGAAACGGUCUGGGUUAAUACCCUGGGCUAAUGACGGUACCGUAAGAAUAAGCACCGGCUAACUACGUGCCAGCCGCCGCGGUAAAAC
rnacentral:rRNA from 1 species